GGGUUGUGAGGUUAAGCGACUAAGCGUACACGGUGGAUGCCCUGGCAGUCAGAGGCGAUGAAGGACGUGCUAAUCUGCGAUAAGCGUCGGUAAGGUGAUAUGAACCGUUAUAACCGGCGAUUUCCGAAUGGGGAAACCCAGUGUGAUUCGUCACACUAUCAUUAACUGAAUCCAUAGGUUAAUGAGGCGAACCGGGGGAACUGAAACAUCUAAGUACCCCGAGGAAAAGAAAUCAACCGAGAUUCCCCCAGUAGCGGCGAGCGAACGGGGAGGAGCCCAGAGCCUGAAUCAGUGUGUGUGUUAGUGGAAGCGUCUGGAAAGGCGCGCGAUACAGGGUGACAGCCCCGUACACAAAAAUGCACAUACUGUGAGCUCGAUGAGUAGGGCGGGACACGUGGUAUCCUGUCUGAAUAUGGGGGGACCAUCCUCCAAGGCUAAAUACUCCUGACUGACCGAUAGUGAACCAGUACCGUGAGGGAAAGGCGAAAAGAACCCCGGCGAGGGGAGUGAAAAAGAACCUGAAACCGUGUACGUACAAGCAGUGGGAGCCUCUUUUAUGGGGUGACUGCGUACCUUUUGUAUAAUGGGUCAGCGACUUAUAUUCUGUAGCAAGGUUAACCGAAUAGGGGAGCCGAAGGGAAACCGAGUCUUAACUGGGCGUUAAGUUGCAGGGUAUAGACCCGAAACCCGGUGAUCUAGCCAUGGGCAGGUUGAAGGUUGGGUAACACUAACUGGAGGACCGAACCGACUAAUGUUGAAAAAUUAGCGGAUGACUUGUGGCUGGGGGUGAAAGGCCAAUCAAACCGGGAGAUAGCUGGUUCUCCCCGAAAGCUAUUUAGGUAGCGCCUCGUGAAUUCAUCUCCGGGGGUAGAGCACUGUUUCGGCAAGGGGGUCAUCCCGACUUACCAACCCGAUGCAAACUGCGAAUACCGGAGAAUGUUAUCACGGGAGACACACGGCGGGUGCUAACGUCCGUCGUGAAGAGGGAAACAACCCAGACCGCCAGCUAAGGUCCCAAAGUCAUGGUUAAGUGGGAAACGAUGUGGGAAGGCCCAGACAGCCAGGAUGUUGGCUUAGAAGCAGCCAUCAUUUAAAGAAAGCGUAAUAGCUCACUGGUCGAGUCGGCCUGCGCGGAAGAUGUAACGGGGCUAAACCAUGCACCGAAGCUGCGGCAGCGACACUGUGUGUUGUUGGGUAGGGGAGCGUUCUGUAAGCCUGUGAAGGUGUGCUGUGAGGCAUGCUGGAGGUAUCAGAAGUGCGAAUGCUGACAUAAGUAACGAUAAAGCGGGUGAAAAGCCCGCUCGCCGGAAGACCAAGGGUUCCUGUCCAACGUUAAUCGGGGCAGGGUGAGUCGACCCCUAAGGCGAGGCCGAAAGGCGUAGUCGAUGGGAAACAGGUUAAUAUUCCUGUACUUGGUGUUACUGCGAAGGGGGGACGGAGAAGGCUAUGUUGGCCGGGCGACGGUUGUCCCGGUUUAAGCGUGUAGGCUGGUUUUCCAGGCAAAUCCGGAAAAUCAAGGCUGAGGCGUGAUGACGAGGCACUACGGUGCUGAAGCAACAAAUGCCCUGCUUCCAGGAAAAGCCUCUAAGCAUCAGGUAACAUCAAAUCGUACCCCAAACCGACACAGGUGGUCAGGUAGAGAAUACCAAGGCGCUUGAGAGAACUCGGGUGAAGGAACUAGGCAAAAUGGUGCCGUAACUUCGGGAGAAGGCACGCUGAUAUGUAGGUGAAGUCCCUCGCGGAUGGAGCUGAAAUCAGUCGAAGAUACCAGCUGGCUGCAACUGUUUAUUAAAAACACAGCACUGUGCAAACACGAAAGUGGACGUAUACGGUGUGACGCCUGCCCGGUGCCGGAAGGUUAAUUGAUGGGGUCAGCGCAAGCGAAGCUCUUGAUCGAAGCCCCGGUAAACGGCGGCCGUAACUAUAACGGUCCUAAGGUAGCGAAAUUCCUUGUCGGGUAAGUUCCGACCUGCACGAAUGGCGUAAUGAUGGCCAGGCUGUCUCCACCCGAGACUCAGUGAAAUUGAACUCGCUGUGAAGAUGCAGUGUACCCGCGGCAAGACGGAAAGACCCCGUGAACCUUUACUAUAGCUUGACACUGAACAUUGAGCCUUGAUGUGUAGGAUAGGUGGGAGGCUUUGAAGUGUGGACGCCAGUCUGCAUGGAGCCGACCUUGAAAUACCACCCUUUAAUGUUUGAUGUUCUAACGUGGACCCGUGAUCCGGGUUGCGGACAGUGUCUGGUGGGUAGUUUGACUGGGGCGGUCUCCUCCUAAAGAGUAACGGAGGAGCACGAAGGUUGGCUAAUCCUGGUCGGACAUCAGGAGGUUAGUGCAAUGGCAUAAGCCAGCUUGACUGCGAGCGUGACGGCGCGAGCAGGUGCGAAAGCAGGUCAUAGUGAUCCGGUGGUUCUGAAUGGAAGGGCCAUCGCUCAACGGAUAAAAGGUACUCCGGGGAUAACAGGCUGAUACCGCCCAAGAGUUCAUAUCGACGGCGGUGUUUGGCACCUCGAUGUCGGCUCAUCACAUCCUGGGGCUGAAGUAGGUCCCAAGGGUAUGGCUGUUCGCCAUUUAAAGUGGUACGCGAGCUGGGUUUAGAACGUCGUGAGACAGUUCGGUCCCUAUCUGCCGUGGGCGCUGGAGAACUGAGGGGGGCUGCUCCUAGUACGAGAGGACCGGAGUGGACGCAUCACUGGUGUUCGGGUUGUCAUGCCAAUGGCACUGCCCGGUAGCUAAAUGCGGAAGAGAUAAGUGCUGAAAGCAUCUAAGCACGAAACUUGCCCCGAGAUGAGUUCUCCCUGACCCUUUAAGGGUCCUGAAGGAACGUUGAAGACGACGACGUUGAUAGGCCGGGUGUGUAAGCGCAGCGAUGCGUUGAGCUAACCGGUACUAAUGAACCGUGAGGCUUAACCUUACAACGCCGAAGGUGUUU
rnacentral:rRNA from 3 species